rnacentral:tRNA from 1 species
GGGGAUGUAGCUCAGUGGCAGUGUAUCUGCCUGGCAAGCACAAGGUCCUGAGUUUGAUUCCCAGUACCA